AUCGCUUCUCGGCCUUUUGGCUAAGAUCAAGUGUAGUAUAUUUUUAUUUUUAAUCGAUACACAGUAAUUAUAUGUUUAUGGAGUCUGGAUUGACAUGUAUACAAUGUAUAAUAAACAGAUCAGGGUAACUGCCAUAUGUAUCACCUCAGGGGUCUACUGUUG
ensembl:snRNA U2 U2 spliceosomal RNA